AAGGAAUUAGUUAACACAUAACAUUAAAAUGUCAAAUUAAAAUUACUCAAUCGAGUAUUCCUUA
rnacentral:tRNA from 1 species